rnacentral:rRNA from 1 species
GAUGAACGCUGGCGGCGUGCCUAAUACAUGCAAGUCGAGCGAACAGACGAGGAGCUUGCUCCUCUGACGUUAGCGGCGGACGGGUGAGUAACACGUGGAUAACCUACCUAUAAGACUGGGAUAACUUCGGGAAACCGGGGCUAAUACCGGAUAAUAUAUUGAACCGCAUGGUUCAAUAGUGAAAGACGGUUUUGCUGUCACUUAUAGAUGGAUCCGCGCCGCAUUAGCUAGUUGGUAAGGUAACGGCUUACCAAGGCAACGAUGCGUAGCCGACCUGAGAGGGUGAUCGGCCACACUGGAACUGAGACACGGUCCAGACUCCUACGGGAGGCAGCAGUAGGGAAUCUUCCGCAAUGGGCGAAAGCCUGACGGAGCAACGCCGCGUGAGUGAUGAAGGUCUUCGGAUCGUAAAACUCUGUUAUUAGGGAAGAACAAAUGUGUCAGUAACUAUGCACGUCUUGACGGUACCUAAUCAGAAAGCCACGGCUAACUACGUG